rnacentral:tRNA from 1 species
CAGACAGAAGCCCGCUGGAUUGGGUGUUUAGCUGUUAAUUAAUUUUUUGUGGGAUCAAGGCCCGCCUGUCUAG